rnacentral:rRNA from 1 species
GAUGAACGCUGGCGGCGUGCCUAAUACAUGCAAGUCGAGCGAACAGAUAAGGAGCUUGCUCCUUUGACGUUAGCGGCGGACGGGUGAGUAACACGUGGGUAACCUACCUAUAAGACUGGGAUAACUUCGGGAAACCGGAGCUAAUACCGGAUAAUAUUUCGAACCGCAUGGUUCGAUAGUGAAAGAUGGUUUUGCUAUCACUUAUAGAUUGACCCGCGCCGUAUUAGCUAGUUGGUAAGGUAACGGCUUACCAAGGCGACGAUACGUAGCCGACCUGAGAGGGUGAUCGGCCACACUGGAACUGAGACACGGUCCAGACUCCUACGGGAGGCAGCAGUAGGGAAUCUUCCGCGAUGGGCGAAAGCCUGACGGAGCAACGCCGCGUGAGUGAUGAAGGUCUUCGGAUCGUAAAACUCUGUUAUUAGGGAAGAACAUACGUGUAAGUAACUGUGCACGUCUUGACGGUACCUAAUCAGAAAGCCACGGCUAACUACGUG